AACUNCCUUGACGGUACUUAAUGAAUAAGCCCCGGCUAAUUAUGUGCCAGCAGCCGCGGUAAUACAUAAGGGGCGAGCGUUAUCCGGAAUUAUUGGGCGUAAAGGGUGCGUAGGCGGUUUAAUAAGUCUAUAGUUUAAUUUCAGUGCUUAACGCUGUUGUGCUAUAGAAACUGUUUUACUAGAGUGAGUUAGAGGCAAGCGGAAUUCCAUGUGUAGCGGUAAAAUGCGUAAAUAUAUGGAGGAACACCAGAGGCGUAGGCGGCUUGCUGGGACUUUACUGACGCUGAGGCACGAAAGCGUGGGGAGCAAACAGGAUUAGAUACCCUGGUAGUCCACGCCGUAAACGAUGAGUACUAAGUGUCGGGUAAAACCGGUACUGAAGUUAACACAUUAAGUACUCCGCCUGAGUAGUACGUACGCAAGUAUGAAACUUAAAGGAAUUGACGGGACUCCGCACAAGCGGUGGAUCAUGUUGUUUAAUUCGAAGAUACACGAAAAACCUUACCAGGUCUUGACAUUUUCUUGCGAAGUUAUAGAAAUAUAAUGGAGGUUAUCAGGAAAACAGGUGGUGCAUGGUUGUCGUCAGCUCGUGUCGUGAGAUGUUAGGUUAAGUCCUAAAACGAGCGCAACCCUUGUCGUUAAUUGCCAGCAUGUAAUGAUGGGGACUUUAACGAGACUGCCAAUGAAAAAUUGGAGGAAGGUGGGGAUUACGUCAAAUCAUCAUGCCCCUUAUGAUCUGGGCUACAAACGUGAUACAAUGGUUGAUACAAAGA
rnacentral:rRNA from 1 species